rnacentral:rRNA from 1 species
ACGCUGGCGGCGUGCCUAAUACAUGCAAGUCGAGCGAGCAGAACCAGCAGAUUUACUUCGGUAAUGACGCUGGGGACGCGAGCGGCGGAUGGGUGAGUAACACGUGGGGAACCUGCCCCAUAGUCUAGGAUACCACUUGGAAACAGGUGCUAAUACCGGAUAAUAAAGCAGAUCGCAUGAUCAGCUUAUAAAAGGCGGCGUAAGCUGUCGCUAUGGGAUGGCCCCGCGGUGCAUUAGCUAGUUGGUAAGGUAACGGCUUACCAAGGCAAUGAUGCAUAGCCGAGUUGAGAGACUGAACGGCCACAUUGGGACUGAGACACGGCCCAAACUCCUACGGGAGGCAGCAGUAGGGAAUCUUCCACAAUGGACGCAAGUCUGAUGGAGCAACGCCGCGUGAGUGAAGAAGGUUUUCGGAUCGUAAAGCUCUGUUGUUGGUGAAGAAGGAUAGAGGUAGUAACUGGCCUUUAUUUGACGGUAAUCAACCAGAAAGUCACGGCUAACUACGUGCCAGCAGCCGCGGUAAUACGUAGGUGGCAAGCGUUGUCCGGAUUUAUUGGGCGUAAAGCGAGCGCAGGCGGAAGAAUAAGUCUGAUGUGAAAGCCCUCGGCUUAACCGAGGAAUUGCAUCGGAAACUGUUUUUCUUGAGUGCAGAAGAGGAGAGUGGAACUCCAUGUGUAGCGGUGGAAUGCGUAGAUAUAUGGAAGAACACCAGUGGCGAAGGCGGCUCUCUGGUCUGCAACUGACGCUGAGGCUCGAAAGCAUGGGUAGCGAACAGGAUUAGAUACCCUGGUAGUCCAUGCCGUAAACGAUGAGUGCUAAGUGUUGGGAGGUUUCCGCCUCUCAGUGCUGCAGCUAACGCAUUAAGCACUCCGCCUGGGGAGUACGACCGCAAGGUUGAAACUCAAAGGAAUUGACGGGGGCCCGCACAAGCGGUGGAGCAUGUGGUUUAAUUCGAAGCAACGCGAAGAACCUUACCAGGUCUUGACAUCUAGUGCCAUCCUAAGAGAUUAGGAGUUCCCUUCGGGGACGCUAAGACAGGUGGUGCAUGGCUGUCGUCAGCUCGUGUCGUGAGAUGUUGGGUUAAGUCCCGCAACGAGCGCAACCCUUAUUAUUAGUUGCCAGCAUUAAGUUGGGCACUCUAAUGAGACUGCCGGUGACAAACCGGAGGAAGGUGGGGAUGACGUCAAGUCAUCAUGCCCCUUAUGACCUGGGCUACACACGUGCUACAAUGGGCAGUACAACGAGAAGCGAGCCUGCGAAGGCAAGCGAAUCUCUGAAAGCUGUUCUCAGUUCGGACUGCAGUCUGCAACUCGACUGCACGAAGCUGGAAUCGCUAGUAAUCGCGGAUCAGAACGCCGCGGUGAAUACGUUCCCGGGCCUUGUACACACCGCCCGUCACACCAUGGAAGUCUGCAAUGCCCAAAGCCGGUGGCCUAACCUUCGGGAAGGAGCCGUCUAAGGCAGGGCAGAUGA